rnacentral:misc_RNA from 1 species
UCAUUAAAUAAUCAAUAAUUUUGGCUUGUCCAUCAUUAUCUAUUUACUGUGAACUGUAUUAUUACUUGACGCUUGAGGGAUGUUCCAAUGCUAUAAGGAUAGGCACUGGAAAUGUUAACCGAGUCAUAAUCAAGCUUAGGCUUGGUAUCCUAUUAUUAUUUACCAAAAGAAUUCAGAAUUAAUAUUGUAACAUAGACGUAAAAAAUCUAUAAAACAACUUUUAACAACGGAUCUCUUGGUUCUCGCAUCGAUGAAGAACGUAGCAAAGUGCGAUAACUAGUGUGAAUUGCAUAUUCAGUGAAUCAUCGAGUCUUUGAACGCAACUUGCGCUCAUUGGUAUUCCAAUGAGCACGCCUGUUUCAGUAUCAAAACAAACCCUCUAUCCAACUUUUGUUGAAUAGGAUGACUGAGAGUCUCUUGAUCUAUUUUGAUCUUGAACCUCUUGAAAUGUACAAAGGCCUGAUCUUGUUUGAAUGCCUGAACUUUUUUUUAAUAUAAAGAGAAGCUCUUGCGAUAAAACUGUGCUGGGGCCUCCCAAAUAACACAUCUUUAAAUUUGAUCUGAAAUCAAGUGGGAUUACCCGCUGAACUUAAACAUAUCA